ensembl:snoRNA SNORD34 Small nucleolar RNA SNORD34
UCUUGUCUAUGAUGUUGACAAAUUACCUACAUUGUUUGAUCCUCAUGAAAAAUAAAAUCCACUGAGACACCC